rnacentral:rRNA from 1 species
GGUGAGUAACACGUAUGGAACCUGCCCGUAGCAGGGGGAUAAGCGGAAGAAAUUCCGUCUAAUACCGCGUAAUAACUCCGAGGGGCAUCUCUUGGGGUUUAAAGGGUAACACCGGCUACGGAUGGCCAUGCGGCGCAUUAGCUAGUUGGCGGGGUAACGGCCCACCAAGGCGACGAUGCGUAGGGGUUCUGAGAGGAAGGUCCCCCACACUGGUACUGAGACACGGACCAGACUCCUACGGGAGGCAGCAGUGAGGAAUAUUGGUCAAUGGGCGCGAGCCUGAACCAGCCAAGUCGCGUGAGGGAAGACGGUCCUAUGGAUUGUAAACCUCUUUUGUCGGGGAGCAAAAGACGCCACGCGUGGCGUUCCGAGAGUACCCGAAGAAAAAGCAUCGGCUAACUCCGUGCCAGCAGCCGCGGUAAUACGGAGGAUGCGAGCGUUAUCCGGAUUUAUUGGGUUUAAAGGGUGCGCAGGCGGAAGAUCAAGUCGGCGGUAAAAUUGAGAGGCUCAACCUCUUCGAGCCGUUGAAACUGGUUUUCUUGAGUGAGCGAGAAGUAUGCGGAAUGCGUGGUGUAGCGGUGAAAUGCAUAGAUAUCACGCAGAACUCCGAUUGCGAAGGCAGCAUACCGGCGCUCAACUGACGCUCAUGCACGAAAGUGUGGGUAUCGAACAGGAUUAGAUACCCUGGUAGUCCACACAGUAAACGAUG